rnacentral:tRNA from 1 species
UGGGGGAUCGUCUAGUGGUAGGACACGUGGCUCUGGACCACGUAGCGGGGGUUCGAAUCCUCCUCCCCCAGCCA